UGAAAAUGGCUAGCAUUCCUUCAGAUGGCACUAGUACGAGUGGGGCAGAUUCCGGUAUGAUCAAUAAACCUACUUUGGAAUUUGUUUUGAGAUACAUUACUUAAGUUAAUCUUUUUGCAUGGAUCCUUGCACUCGUCCUUGCUAGGAAUCUCCAUGUAACCGACCCCAUUAAGUUGGGAUAAGGUUUUGAAUGUUGUUGUUGUAAUACAUUCCUUAUGUCAUUGAUCACUAAAAUUUUAUUUAUUUGUUCUUGUAAAUUGGAAUUCACUUGUAGCAUGUUGUCCCAAGUACGAAACGAGGUCAUAAAUUCAUAAUAGGGCCAUUGAAACAAUGUCAAUGCAGUGCAGACAGAAGAAGAGAGUAGACCUCAAUGAGCACCAUCAGAGCAUUCAUCAUAUCACAUCCUAAUUCGUUACUUGAAUGGGAACCACCGUAAGGAACAAUUUGUGCUGCCUUGUAAUUAUCCCGACUAGUGGAAAGUGUCAGAGCACUUUGGAAGAAAAUUCAGGUUAGGUGACAACCCAUAUGUCCAUUCAAGAUCUAUGGUACUUAAACUCUUUGUGUUUUCAUUUGAGGAUUUUAAUUUUCUAUAGUACAUUGUCUUAUAGGAUAAAAUUGAUGCGGUUGGUAAGAAAUGGGUCUUCCAAAAAUUGGGUCUACAGCGGAAAGCCUUUAAGCUCGAUUGAAAUACGGAAAUAUUUGAUAGAUGUGAUAGUCAUAAUGAGUUAAAUGAGAAAUGUCAUACUUGUGUUCCACUAGAUCAAUGGAAAGACCUCAUAACCAAGUGGCAGAAUGAGAAAAAUGAGGUAGGAUUUAUUUAUUUGCCUAGAUGCAUUGCUAAUUGUUAACUGUGGCUGACACAUAGGUAAUUUAUGUUUUUCAAUAUGGUAGGAUGUUUGUAUGUGAAAUAAAGAGAGCAGAUCAAAACAAAAAAUGAGUCCUACUGCUGGGUAAAGAAGUUUUGCCGAACUUUAUUAUAUUUUGAUACAUUUCUUACACACUUAUACAUAUAAUUGAUAAUUCUGAAGAACGUGUAAAAUGUUAUAAUUAACUGUUUGUUCGAUAGAGGGCCCUAAGGGUGAGGAGCCUUCAAGGUUCGAGAUGUUUAUGAUUAUACAUAAGAAGAAGAAUUGACAGCCAGUAGAUGUGGCUUCACAAGAAACAAUGACAAAGCUCAAUGAUAAGUUGAGUCAGUUGCCCAAAGAAAUAAGAAAUUACAGAGCACUAAAAGAAGGCAUCUUCACCAAGGUAAUAGAAAAAGACACUCACAUUCGAGUGCGCCUACUUGGAGUUGAGUAAGCCCAAAGGACCUUGGGCUAACAAAAAUGUGUCAGAACACAGAGUUGCAAUGUCAAAUGGCAGAGUUGAAGCAAGAAAUGGCAGAAGACAGAAAGAAGUUGAUGGAAGCAGGAAGAAAGAAAAAAUAUGCAAGAGCUGGAAGAAGAAAAGUAGAAGAAUGCAUAGGCUCUUUCCAGUAUGCAAUCACAACUAGAAAAACUUACACAAGUCAUGAUUAAUAGGACCUCACGGGAUUCAAUUAAUUUUGGUAAUUAAGAAUUGUAAUGAUUUCUCUAUCUCUAUGACUAUUUAAUUACAAUUUUAUAUGCAACUAAUUUUGAUUGAUGAUUCAUUUGACCAAUAGGUCAAUGAUGAGAUUGCACAAGCAAUUGUAAGAGGGUGAGAGAGGUAACUAUUCUCAUAGGAGUUUUUAUAUAUAUGACCCUUAUUCUUCUCUAA